rnacentral:rRNA from 1 species
GAUGAACGCUGGCGGCGUGCCUAAUACAUGCAAGUCGAGCGAACAGACGAGGAGCUUGCUCCUCUGACGUUAGCGGCGGACGGGUGAGUAACAUGUGGAUAACCUACCUAUAAGACUGGGAUAACUUCGGGAAACCGGAGCUAAUACCGGAUAAUAUAUUGAACCGCAUGGUUCAAUAGUGAAAGACGGUUUUGCUGUCACUUAUAGAUGGAUCCGCGCCGCAUUGGCUAGUUGGUAAGGUAACGGCUUACCAAGGCAACGAUGCGUAGCCGACCUGAGAGGGUGGUCGGCCACCCUGGAACUGAGACACGGUCCAGACUCCUACGGGAGGCAGCAGUAGGGAAUCUUCCGCAAUGGGCGAAAGCCUGACGGAGCAACGCCGCGUGAGUGAUGAAGGUCUUCGGAUCGUAAAACUCUGUUAUUAGGGAAGAACAAAUGUGUAAGUAACUAUGCACGUCUUGACGGUACCUAAUCAGAAAGCCACGGCUAACUACGUG